UUUAAAGAGAGUUUGAUCUUGGCUCAGGACGAACGCUGGCGGCGUGCCUAAUACAUGCAAGUCGAACGAACGGAGGAAGAGCUUGCUCUUCCAAAGUUAGUGGCGGACGGGUGAGUAACACGUGGGCAACCUGCCUGUAAGUUGGGGA
rnacentral:rRNA from 1 species